rnacentral:tRNA from 1 species
UAGAAAGACAGGACACGAACCUGCACCGAAAGGCCCAAAACCCUUCGUACUCCACUAUACUACUCUCU